CAGUAGCCGCGGUAAUACGUAGGUGGCAAGCGUUGUCCGGAGUUAUUGGGCGUAAAGCGCGCGCAGGUGGUUUAAUAAGUCUGAUGUGAAAGCCCACGGCUCAACCGUGGAGGGUCAUUGGAAACUGUUAAACUUGAGUGCAGGAGAGAAAAGUGGAAUUCCUAGUGUAGCGGUGAAAUGCGUAGAGAUUAGGAGGAACACCAGUGGCGAAGGCGGCUUUUUGGCCUGUAACUGACACUGAGGCGCGAAAGCGUGGGGAGCAAACAGGAUUAGAUACCCCAGUAGUCCCUGUCUCUUAUAC
rnacentral:rRNA from 1 species